UAGGGAAUCUUCGGCAAUGGGGGCAACCCUGACCGAGCAACGCCGCGUGAGUGAAGAAGGUUUUCGGAUCGUAAAACUCUGUUGUUAGAGAAGAACACGAGUGAGAGUAACUGUUCAUUCGAUGACGGUAUCUAACCAGCAAGUCACGGCUAACUACGUGCCAA
rnacentral:rRNA from 1 species